GUUUCGGCGGCCAUAGCGAGAGGGAAACGCCCGGUCACAUUCCGAACCCGGAAGCUAAGACUCUCUGCGCCGAUGGUACUGCAAGGGGGACCUUGUGGGAGAGUAGGACACCGCCGGACU
rnacentral:rRNA from 1 species